UACGUAGGUGGCAAGCGUUGUCCGGAUUUAUUGGGUUUAAAGGGUGCGUAGGCGGUCUUAUAAGUCAGUGCUGAAAUAUCCCGGCUUAACCGGGAGGGUGGCAUUGAUACUGUAGGACUUGAGUAAAGUUGAGGUUGGCGGAAUUGACGGUGUAGCAGUGAAAUGCGUAGAUAUCGUAAGGAAGACCAGUGGCGAAGGCGAGUCUCUGGACAGUUACUGACACUGAGGCACGAAGGCCAGGGGAGCAAACGGG
rnacentral:rRNA from 1 species